rnacentral:tRNA from 1 species
UCCCUGAUAGCUCAGUUGAUAAAGAAUUUGCCUGCAAUGCAGGAGACCUGGGUUCGAUCCCUGGGUAGGGAA